rnacentral:lncRNA from 1 species
CGCCAACCCAGACAGGAAGACCACGUCAGUGACUCAACCCACUCAAGUGAUGCACCCCUCCCAGGGAUGGCAUGGAAGAACACCAGUAAGCCAGUGACUCAGCCCUGUCACUGUGCUACAGGUUAGUGUCUGUCUGUGUCACUGUGCUACAGGUUACUGUGUCUAUGUCACUGUGCUACAGGUUAGUGUGACUCUAUGUCACUGUGCUACAGGGUAGUGGGUGUCUAUGUCACUGUGCUACAGGGUAGUGUGUUUAUGUCACUGUGCUACAGGGUAGUGUGUUUAUGUCACUGUGCUACAGGGUAGUGUGUUUAUGUCACUGUGCUACAGGGUAGUGUGUUUAUGUCACUGUGCUACAGGUUAGUGUGUCUCUAUGUCACUGGGCUACAGGUUACUGUGUCUAUGUCACUGUGCUACAGGGUAGUGGGUGUCUAUGUCACUGUGCUACAGGGUAGUGUGUUUAUGUCACUGUGCUACAGGGUAGUGUGUUUAUGUCACUGUGCUACAGGGUAGUGGGUGUCUAUGUCACUGGGCUACAGGGUAGUGUGUUUAUGUCACUGUGCUACAGGGUAGUGUGUUUGUCACUGUGCUACAGGUUAGUGUGUUUGUCACUGUGCUACAGGUUACUGUGUCUAUGUCACUGUGCUACAGGGUAGUGUGUGUCUAUGUCACUGUGCUACAGGUUAGUGUGUGUCUAUGUCACUGUGCUACAGGUUAGUGUGUGUCUAUGUCACUGUGCUACAGGUUAGUGUGUCUCUAUGUCAUUGUGCUACAGGUUAGUGUGUUUAUGUCACUGUGCUACAGGUUAGUGUGUGUCUCUGUCACUGUGCUGUCAUGACGUUGGCCUGUGGGUAAGGUUUAUGACCCCCCAUAAAUACCUUUCUCCCUUCCCCUCUCUCUCUGACCCUACUGAAGGACUUGAAUAGCCUGUGUUAACCUCUAUGGGCUAGUUGGAACGCUAGCGUGCCACCCGUGGUGCACUCCAUCAACAGCAGGUGCAUUUCAAGAGCGGCAAAUUUGAAUCCAAAUAAAUGUCAAAAUUCAAAUUUUUCAAACAUACAACUAUUUU